CCUGGUGGCUCAGAGGUUAAAGCGUCUGCCUGCAAUGCAGGAGACCUGGGUCUGAUCCCCUGGGUCAGGA
rnacentral:tRNA from 1 species